GAUGAACGCUGGCGGCGUGCCUAAUACAUGCAAGUCGAACGGAGAGAUGCGGUGCUUGCUCGUCUGAGUGUAGCGGCGGCCGGGGGGGUAGUAAGAGGAUAACAUCCCUCUCCGACUUGGUUAAUAACGGCAAAAAGGUGCUACUAACGCGUAAUAUAUUGGAUCUGAUGGUUCAUUAGUGUGAGAAGGUUUUUGUUUCGCUUAUAGAUGGAUUCGCGGCGUAUCAGCUAGUUGGUAAGGUAACGGCUUACCAAGGCGACGAUGCGUAGCCGACCUGAGAGGGGGAUCGGCCACACUGGAGCUGAGACACGAUCCCGACUACUACGGGAGGCAGCAGCAGGGAAUCUUCCGCAAUGGUGGGAAGCCGGACGGUGCAACGCCGCGUGAGUGAUGAUGGUCUUCUGAUCGUAGAGCUCUGUUAUCAGGGAAGAACAAAUGUGUAAGUAACUAUGCACGUCUUGACGGUACCUAAACAGAAAGCCACGGCUAACUACGUG
rnacentral:rRNA from 1 species